AGCUCCAAUAGUGUAUACUAAUGUUGCUGCAGUUAAAAAGCUCGUAGUUGGAUUUCGGUUAACAAGGAGGUAGUCUACUUUUUUAUAAGUACGCACUGUCGACUUGUUUCCUUCUUUUCAGUAACAAAUCUUUUUUUGUUCUGAAUCUUUUACUUUGAAAAAAUUAGAGUGUUCAAAGCAGGCGUAUUUUGCCUUUGAAUAUAUUAGCAUGGGAUAAUAAAAUAAGACUUUUUGCCUUAUUUCGUUGGUUCUUGGGGCUAAAGUAAUGAUCAAUAGGGAUAGUUGGGGUCAUUAGUAUUUAAUUGUCAGAGGUGAAAUUCUAAGAUUAAUUAAAGACUAACUACUGCGAAAGCAUUUGACAAGGAUGUUUUCA
rnacentral:rRNA from 1 species